GAUGAACGCUGGCGGCGUGCUUAACACAUGCAAGUCGAACGGACAGGCCCUGCUCUUGUGCGGUGCUCGUGUGGCGCACGGGUGAGUAACACGUGUGUAACCUGUACCUGUCUUUGGGAUAUAUUUUCGAAAAUGGGGCUCAUAUCGCAUAGGAUCUCUUGCUCCACGGUGGGCGAUGGAAAGAUUCGGCGGUUCGGGAUGGACUCGCGGCUUCUCAGCUUGAUGGUGGGGUAGUGGCUUACCCAGGCUUUGACGGGUAGCCGGCCUGAGCGGGUGACCAGCCACAUUGGGACUGAGAUACGGCCAAGACUCCUACGGGAGGCAGCAGGGGCGAAUAUUGCACAAUGGGCGGAAGCCUGAUGCAGCAACGCCGCGGGCUGGAUGACGGCCGUCGUGUUGUAAACCGCUUUCGCCUGGGACGAAGCGUGAGUGACGGUGAUGGGUAAAGAAGCACCGGCUAACUACGUG
rnacentral:rRNA from 1 species